UUGCAGCCAAUUAAGCUGACCAUGCUCUUUUGCCCAUAGGGCCUGAUGUGUAAUGGCUGCAAAUAGCAGCCUCCUCAGGAGUGUAUGAAAUCUGUUGCCUCUAUGGUUGCCCUAGGGGACCUUGGAGACAGCC
ensembl:snoRNA SNORA70 Small nucleolar RNA SNORA70